ensembl:lncRNA
UGCAUUCAUAUGUACAAGUUGUAGUGACAAUGCAGCAAAAGCAACUUCUAGCAUUUCCCUGAGUUUGUGAAUAGAUGACAUCAUGGUUCUUUGUGAAGGUGCGUGAAGAACAAAGCCUCUACUGGGACGAUUGCUUUGUUUAGUUGAUGAUCCCCGUGGACUCUAUUGUACUGUGGACAUGGAACAGAGGCGGCCUCAUGAAUCCAGGCCGGGGUCAUAACUCAAAAGGACACAGAAGCUGAGCCACCGCCAUCCGCGAGCUGGCAUCCCAGGGACAAAUGAGUCCGUCAAGUGAUGCUCCCGUGCAUCUACUGUGGCUGCC